AGCUCCAUUGAUGGAAGAACCAGUGAUGUUUUAUGCACUUACCGAAAGAACGUUUACACUCGAAAAACUUUCGACAGUAAUUUAUGAGAAGACAAUCAUCAACACUGGUGGACAUUACAACACUUUUGAUGGAGUAUUUGUUGCUCCAAAGUCAGGGACCUAUUUCUUUUCUUGGACUAGCUGCACUAACGGUGCUAACUAUGCGUUCACUGAGUUAAUGGUAGAAAAUCAGCUCAUAGCAAAGGCAGGAGUAUAUGAACAUGCUGGCAGUUAUCACUGUGGGUCAAUGUCAUCAUUGUGUAAAAUGAGCAAAGAAGACCAUGCAUGGAUAAGAACCACACCAUAUGGAGCAAAAAAUUAUUUUUAUUUUCAUCGCCAGACCCCGAGCUCCUCUUUUCUUGGUAUGUUUAUGAGCAAUGAGUGACAUUUUACAUUUCCACCGAGUCACUUUUUU
rnacentral:lncRNA from 1 species